UUUUGACAAAGAUAUGAACAAUAAGCUUCUCCUUUUUUUAUAUUUAUUUAAAUUUUUGAUUUUUUUUUGCAAGCUUCAAAGCGCCAGUCAAUCAUUCGUCUAUGACCUACCAUCGUAGCGCCUGAGUGGCGUAGUCGUGGCAGAAACUGAGUCAGGUUGCUUGAACAUUUUCUCGCACUGAAACUUGUUUUGCGAAUUAAUUCUUUUCACGAAGAGGCCGUUACAAAACACCGUAAGCUGAAAGUACAGAAAAUUUAUUGAUGGUUAGUUAGAAAAUUUUCAUCCGUGUUUUACCCUUUGUAUGCCUGGCAUAACACGCUGCAAUUCUUGUCAUUGACCCAGCUGACGCUCAUGGAUCGACGAAGGUGCCAAUGUGGACUGCCCCUGGGAGCCCCUCCACAUGGAAGGAAGAACAUGUAAAGUCAUACUUCUGUUCUCAUUUUGGACGAAAACCUGUACCUGGCAUGAGAUCAGAGGAGAUAUAUAGUCUAAUUCGCAGGGGGAAUUAACUUUGUGUCGUUGUUACUAGAAAACAUCACUUGCUUCCUUGCUUUUAGCUGGCUUGUAAAAAUUAACUUUUCUUGCUGUAUGAUUUUCCGUCCCGAGACCAACUUAAAGUGAAUUCUAGUGUUGUCCGUCAUUAUCCUGACGCAGAGUAUUAGCUGUAUUGAAAAUUUGGCUUUCGCUUUAGGUUAUUGCAAGUUAAACUUUCUAAUCAGGUUUACUGCAGACUAGACAAUUUUUGCAUGCAUUUCAAUGCAACUGACUGUGCGUUAGUUCAGUUUGUGUUUGUUUCUCUAGCAGGAUGGGGUGCUCUAUUCUAUGGAGGUUACAAGUUUUUCACCAGCGGUUCCAAGAAAGUUGCAGCUGUCGCAGAACCCUGUCCAGAAGGCAUGGAGAGGGUCAAAGUAGCAAAACACUAAAUGCAGUCAUUUAUAAAUAACGCACAAGCCGAUAUUGUUCUUUCCCAUCCAACACAAGUGUGUCUCAUUUAGAUAAGGUGUGUUGGCAUGGAGAGCAUCCCAGCAGUUUGUGAAAUUCAGGGUGUACAGCCUAUUGUGAAUUUGUAUCUAGUGAUUUAAGGAGCGCAUUACAGUGUUGGACCCUAAAACCGCUUUUUUGGUUGUCACGGUACUCAUUAACCGCAGUGAAAUUAUCAUUCUUGGACUUGGUGCCUAAGUAAAUUUUGUGAGAUUAGCGCUUAUUUAAUAAUGAUAUGAGGCUCCCUGAUUUGUCAAAACAUGCCUAGUUAAGGUGCAACUCCUGUCGUGAUUCUGGAUUGUUUACUGAGCAGAUUGUCGUGUA
rnacentral:lncRNA from 1 species